AUGGCUAAUACCGGAUAAGUAAUUGGAAGGCAUCUUCUAAUAUUAAAGUUUAAAUACACACAAGGAUGAGCUUAUGGUGCAUUAGCUAGUUGGUGGGGUAACGGCCUACCAAGGCUGUGAUGCAUAGCCGACCUGAGAGGGUGAUCGGCCACACUGGGACUGAGACACGGCCCAGACUCCUACGGGAGGCAGCAGUAGGGAAUUUUCGGCAAUGGGGGCAACCCUGACCGAGCAACGCCGCGUGAGUGAUGAAGGUCGCAAGAUUGUAAAACUCUGUUGUAAAGGAAGAACACUAAGGAUAGAAUCCUUAGUUGACGGUACUUUACCAGAAAGCCACGGCUAACUACGUG
rnacentral:rRNA from 1 species